rnacentral:tRNA from 2 species
CGGGCUGUGGCCUAGUUGGUAAGGCGCCAGUCUGGGGGACUGGAGAUCGCGAGUUCAAGUCUCGCCAGCCCGA